UGCAUAGGGAAGAGAAAGCCUAUAUAAUAGGCAGAGUCAGCAAAUGAGAGAUACAACUUAUCAAAAAAACUUGUUGACGAAAAUAAUAUAGUAUGAUAUAUUAUAAAAGUCGCUGAAACGCGAUGUUGAACUUUGAAAACUAAACGAAACAAACAACGUGAAACGUCAAUUUUUAUUUUAGAUGCUAGACAAACUAACUUUAUUGGAGAGUUUGAUCCUG
rnacentral:rRNA from 1 species